rnacentral:snRNA from 1 species
GUGCUCAAGUGGGCAGCGCGUGUACGAAAUUUGGAAGGAUACAGAGAAGUUUAGCAAGGCCCCUGGGCAAGGAUGAUGUGCAGAUUCAUGAGGCAUUGCAUAAAUUU